GCAGUCUGACCAGCCAUGCCGCGUGCAGGAUGAGGUCCUAUGGAUUGUAAACUGCUUUUGUACAGGAAGAAACACUCCCUCGUGAGGGAGCUGACGGUACUGUAA
rnacentral:rRNA from 1 species